AAUGUAUUUCUAGUCAAAGAUGCAGAUUUUAAAAUGCGUGAGCAAAAUAAAAAAAAUGCUGCCCAGCCAAAAUCAGGUGACUGCAGAGGGUGUAAAAAUAGAGAUAAAAUAUUUAUUAUUGAUUCAGUUUUGAUUGAAGUAUAAUGUGUGUGUCAUAAUGUAUGAAAUAUAACCAAAAAAUGAGCUACAGGACAGAGGGCAAAAUAUUAACACAUAACAUGGGAUGCAGUUAAUAAAAUCACCACAAGAUGGCGAUAUCACUUACUGCGCGAGGAUCGCUCAGACAGGAAGUGAUGUAAGAAAGCACAGGAAGUGAUGGAAAGUAGGAACAGGAAAUGAUGUAUGACAAAGAAAUGGCGUUUUAUAAGGUAAAGACAGGAAGUUUUGGGAGAGAUAGAAAUACGAGUAGUGAAGAGACAUCGAUGGAUUACACCGGAGAGGAUUAAUGAAGUAGUGAAGAGGACACUUGAGCAGUU